rnacentral:rRNA from 1 species
GAGCCUGAGAAACGGCUACCACAUCUAAGGAUGGCAGCAGGCGCGCAAAUUACCCAAUCCUGACACAGGGAGGUAGUGACAAGAAAUAACAAUACGGGGCUUAAUGUCUUGUAAUUGGAAUGAUGGGAAUUUAAACCUCUUCCAGAGUAUCAAUUGGAGGGCAAGUCUGGUGCCAGCAGCCGCGGUAAUACCAGCUCCAAUAGCGUAUAUUAAAAUUGUUGCAGUUAAAAAGCUCGUAGUUGAAUUUCUGCUGCAUUGCUUUUGCUCCUUUACGAGUCUUUGCAUUGUGGCUUAUUUCGGACUUUGUUUUACAAUGUCCGGAUGUUUACUUUGAGUAAAUUAGAGUGCUCAAAGCAGGCUUUCGCCUUGAAUAGUUUAGCAUGGA